GUCCAUGGCCAUACUGCCCUGAACACGCCUGAUCUCAGAAGCUAAACAGGGUUGGGCCUGGUUAGUAUUUGGAUGGGAGACCGCUUGGGAAUACUAGGUGCUGUAGGUG
rnacentral:rRNA from 1 species